GACGUAGGAGGCGAGCGUUGUCCGGAUUCAUUGGGCGUAAAGAGCACGCAGGCGGUUUGGCAAGUCGGAUGUGAAGGCCCGGAGCUCAACUCCGGACCUGCAUCCGAAACUGCCCGACUAGAGGUAGGUAGGGGAGAUCGGAAUUCCUGGUGUAGCGGUGAAAUGCGCAGAUAUCAGGAGGAACACCGGUGGCGAAGGCGGAUCUCUGGGCCUUACCUGACGCUCAGGUGCGAAAGCUAGGGGAGCGAACAGG
rnacentral:rRNA from 1 species